UUACUUCACCCCGGCGCCAGCAGCCAGCACCCAGCAGCCGCCACGCAGGUCAGUUGUCUGUAGUGGCUGCUUCCGCCAGGGUGAGUGUGGUGUGGCGGCCGUGUGACAUGGCCCAUGCUGGUUCCCUGCUGUUCCUUGGCCUACCUUCAUGAUGGACAUGCGCGAGGUGUUAGGGGCGUCCAAGUGGUUCCUAGCAGCUGAUCUCCAGACGGUGACCUUGUCCAGUGACCAGCAGUGCGUGACCUUCGUGGUGCACUUCAUGGGCCCCAGCGCAGGUCGUCUUGAGCUGGACUUAUCCCGCGUGCUGGCUGGCCGCAAUCUGGACCCCCCCACCAUCAUCAUCAGGGGCGUGUCCUGACCCGGACCGCCCCAAGAAGCUGCCCUACAGGACCUGCGGGAGCCUGGAGGAGGAGACACUGCUGGAGGAGUAUAAGAGCGAGUCUUGGGGAUGGGAAGGGAGAGGAGAGUACAAGGUGUAAGGGUAGAUGGGAGCACUGGAAAGGGGAGGGGAGGGGAGGUGAGUAUGGCAGUUGGGGGGAGGAAGGGCAAGAAAAUGGAAGGGAAGGAGAAAAAGGAAAAAGGAAAUGAAAGGGAGGGAAAGUAGGAGGGUGGUGGCAGGGGAUAUGGGUGGUGUUUGGGUAUUUAGUUCAGAGGUUUAGGCUGUUUGCUCAGCGUUUGUUUCCUUUAGGCAUCUCAAAUGUUCCUUUGCAGAGCACAUCCCCAAUCCCUUUGCAGAGGUUUCCUUUUGGUAUCUCAAAUGUUCUUUUGCAGAACAUAUCCCCAAUCCCUUUGCAGAGGUUUCCUUUAGGCAUCUCAAAUGUUCCUUUGCAGAACAUAUCCCCAAUCCCUUUGCAGAGGUUUCUUAUCAGGUUUUUUCUUUUGCAGCCAACACCCCGUGGGAUCUCAAGGGCGGUGUUGCCGGAGCUGGCCUCGCCUCCGCCCUGCUGCUGCCUCUGCUUCACCUCAUCGCCUGCGAUAAACCCAUCAACAUCAAGGCAUCUUGGUUUUCGCGUCCAUUCCCGCCCCCCUUAGUUCCUCUCACCCUGCAUAGGGGGCCUGUACAUUAUGUAGAUAGGAGGCUAUAAUUGUGUGAAAUUAGAUAUAUUAUGCAAUAAUUAUCUUUAUGCAUAUAUAUAUAAAAUGCAAUAAUGUUCCUUAUGCAUAUAUACAAAAUACAAUAAUA